CAAGUCGAACGGAGCUGAGAGGAGCUUGCUUUUCUUAGCUUAGUGGCGAACGGGUGAGUAACGCGUGAGUAACCUGCCCUGGAGUGGGGGACAACAGUUGGAAACGGCUGCUAAUACCGCAUAAGCCCACGAUCCGGCAUCGGAUUGAGGGAAAAGGAUUUAUUCGCUUCAGGAUGGACUCGCGUCCAAUUAGCUAGUUGGUGAGGUAACGGCCCACCAAGGCGACGAUUGGUAGCCGGACUGAGAGGUUGAACGGCCACAUUGGGACUGAGACACGGCCCAGACUCCUACGGGAGGCAGCAGUGGGGGAUAUUGCACAAUGGGGGAAACCCUGAUGCAGCGACGCCGCGUGGAGGAAGAAGGUCUUCGGAUUGUAAACUCCUGUUGUUGAGGAAGAUAAUGACGGUACUCAACAAGGAAGUGACGGCUAACUACGUGCCAGCAGCCGCGGUAAAACGUAGGUCACAAGCGUUGUCCGGAAUUACUGGGUGUAAAGGGAGCGCAGGCGGGAAGACAAGUUGGAAGUGAAAUCUAUGGGCUCAACCCAUAAACUGCUUUCAAAACUGUUUUUCUUGAGUAGUGCAGAGGUAGGCGGAAUUCCCGGUGUAGCGGUGGAAUGCGUAGAUAUCGGGAGGAACACCAGUGGCGAAGGCGGCCUACUGGGCACCAACUGACGCUGAGGCUCGAAAGUGUGGGUAGCAAACAGGAUUAGAU
rnacentral:rRNA from 1 species